AUUGAACGCUGGCGGCAUGCUUUACACAUGCAAGUCGAGCGGCAGCGCGGGCUUCGGCCUGGCGGCGAGUGGCGAACGGGUGAGUAAUACAUCGGAACGUGCCCAGUAGUGGGGGAUAGCUCGGCGAAAGCCGGAUUAAUACCGCAUACGACCUGAGGGUGAAAGCGGGGGAUCUUCGGACCUCGCGCUAUUGGAGCGGCCGAUGGCAGAUUAGCUAGUUGGUGGGGUAAAGGCCUACCAAGGCGACGAUCUGUAGCUGGUCUGAGAGGACGACCAGCCACACUGGGACUGAGACACGGCCCAGACUCCUACGGGAGGCAGCAGUGGGGAAUUUUGGACAAUGGGCGAAAGCCUGAUCCGGCAAUGCCGCGUGUGUGAUGAAGGCCUUCGGGUUGUAAAGCACUUUUGGCGGGAACGAAAAGGACUGUGCCAAUACCACGGUUCGAUGACGGUACCCGCAGAAUAAGCACCGGCUAACUACGUG
rnacentral:rRNA from 1 species